rnacentral:rRNA from 1 species
CACGCAGGCGGUCUGUUAAGUCAGAUGUGAAAUCCCCGGGCUUAACCUGGGAACUGCAUUUGAAACUGGCAGGCUUGAGUCUCGUAGAGGGGGGUAGAAUUCCAGGUGUAGCGGUGAAAUGCGUAGAGAUCUGGAGGAAUACCGGUGGCGAAGGCGGCCCCCUGGACAGAGACUGACGCUCAAAUGCGAAAGCGUGGGGAUCAAACAGGAUUAGAUACCCUAGUA